AGAGUUUGAUCCUGGCUCAGGAUGAACGCUAGCUACAGGCUUAACACAUGCAAGUCGAGGGGAAACGACAUCGAAAGCUUGCUUUUGAUGGGCGUCGACCGGCGCACGGGUGAGUAACGCGUAUCCAACCUGCCCACCACUUGGGGAUAACCUUGCGAAAGUAAGACUAAUACCCAAUGACGUCUCUAGAAGACAUCUGAAAGAGAUUAAGAUUUAUCGGUGAUGGAUGGGGAUGCGUCUGAUUAGCUUGUUGGCGGGGUAACGGCCGCCAAGGCUACGAUCAGUAGGGGUCUGAGAGGAAGGUCCCCCANAUUGGAACUGAGACACGGUCCAACUCCGUACGGGAGCA
rnacentral:rRNA from 1 species